GAUGAACGCUAGCGAUAGGCUUAACACAUGCAAGUCGAGGGGCAGCAUGGUCUUAGCUUGCUAAGACUGAUGGCGACCGGCGCACGGGUGCGUAACGCGUAUGCAACUUGCCUCACAGAGGGGGAUAACCCGUCGAAAGACGGACUAAUACCGCGUACACUCUAUGUUGGGCAUCCAAUGUAGAGGAAAUGAAAUUCGCUGUGAGAUAGGCAUGCGUCCCAUUAGCUAGUUGGUGAGGUAACGGCUCACCAAGGCGACGAUGGGUAGGGGAACUGAGAGGUUGAACCCCCACACUGGUACUGAGACACGGACCAGACUCCUACGGGAGGCAGCAGUGAGGAAUAUUGGUCAAUGGGCGAGAGCCUGAACCAGCCAAGUCGCGUGAAGGAUGACUGUCUUAUGGAUUGUAAACUUCUUUUAUACGGGAAUAACAAUGAUGUCAUCGUGUGACUGCCCUGCAUGUACCGUAUGAAUAA
rnacentral:rRNA from 1 species